GGGCAUCGGAUGAGGCUUUGGGUCACCUCCCACCCGUGUUUAUUUUACCUUGUUGCUUCGGCGGGCCCGCCUUUACUGGCCGCCGGGGGGCUCACGCCCCCGGGCCCGCGCCCGCCGAAGACACCCCCGAACUCUGUCUGAAGAUUGAAGUCUGAGUGAAAAUAUAAAUUAUUUAAAACUUUCAACAACGGAUCUCUUGGUUCCGGCAUCGAUGAAGAACGCAGCGAAAUGCGAUACGUAAUGUGAAUUGCAAAUUCAGUGAAUCAUCGAGUCUUUGAACGCACAUUGCGCCCCCUGGUAUUCCGGGGGGCAUGCCUGUCCGAGCGUCAUUGCUGCCCUCAAGCCCGGCUUGUGUGUUGGGCCCCGUCCUCCGAUUCCGGGGGACGGGCCCGAAAGGCAGCGGCGGCACCGCGUCCGGUCCUCGAGCGUAUGGGGCUUUGUCACCCGCUCUGUAGGCCCGGCCGGCGCUUGCCGAUCAACCCAAAUUUUUAUCCAGGUUGACCUCGGAUCAGGUAGGGAUACCCGCUGAACUUAAGCAUAUCAAUAAGCGGAGGAA
rnacentral:rRNA from 1 species